rnacentral:rRNA from 1 species
CUGGUGCGAGUGCGAACGGGGAGUAAUAUAUCGGAACGUGCCCAGUAGUGGGGGAUACUUGCUCGAAAGAGCAGCUAAUCCCGCAUACGACCUGAGGGUGAAAGGGGGGGAUCGCAAGACCUCUCGCUAUUGGAGCGGCCGAUAUCAGAUUAGCUAGUUGGUGGGGUAAAGGCCUACCAAGGCAACGAUCUGUAGUUGGUCCGAGAGCACGACCAGCCACACUGGGACUGAGACACGGCCCAGACUCCUACGGGAGGCAGCAGUGGGGAAUUUUGGACAAUGGGCGCAAGCCUGAUCCAGCAAUGCCGCGUGCAGGAAGAAGGCCUUCGGGUUGUAAACUGCUUUUGUCAGGGAAGAAAUCCUCUAGGUUAAUACCCUUGGGGGGAUGACGGUACGUAAGAAU